CUGGCGGCCAUAGCGCGGUGGCACCACCUGAACCCAUGCCGAACUCAGAAGUGAAACGCCGUAGCGCCGAUGGUAGUGUGGGGUCUCCCCAUGCGAGAGUAGGACACUGCCAGGC
rnacentral:rRNA from 1 species